AGAGUACAGCUCAGCGGUAGAGUGCAUGCUUAGCGUGCAUAAGGUCCUGGGUUCAAUCCCCAGUACCUCCA
rnacentral:tRNA from 1 species